rnacentral:rRNA from 1 species
ACCAGACUCCUACGGGAGGCAGCAGUGGGGGAUAUUGCACAAUGGGGGGAACCCUGAUGCAGCGACGCCGCGUGGGUGAAGGAGCGUUUCGGCGCGUAAAGCCCUAUCGGCAGGGAAGAAGGAGGACGGUACCUGACUAAGAAGCCCCGGCUAACUACGUGCCAGCAGCCGCGGUAAUUCGUAGGGGGCAAGCGUUAUCCGGAUUUACUGGGUGUAAAGGGAGCGUAGACGGCGAUGCAAGCCAGAUGUGAAAGCCCGGGGCUCAACCCCGGGACUGCAUUUGGAACUGUGUGGCUGGAGUGUCGGAGAGGCAAGUGGAAUUCCUAGUGUAGCGGUGAAAUGCGUAGAUAUUAGGAGGAACACCAGUGGCGAAGGCGGCUUGCUAGACGAUGACUGACGUUGAGGCUCGAAAGCGUGGGGAGCAAACAGGAUUAGAUACCCCAGUA